UGAUUACUUCAAGAUUCAAUAGCCUUAUUCCAAUCUCUAACAUAAAUUUAUUAUGAUAAUUCUAGUGUCAUUCAAAUCGCUCACAAUGAUAUCAAAUCAUAUUAAGAUUGAUUAUCAUUUUACACAUAAUCUUCAACUUGGUAAUCUACAACUUUGCUCAAUCAAUACUGAAGAUCAAAUGAUAGAUAUAUUUGCCAAACCAUUAUUACCG
rnacentral:lncRNA from 1 species